GUGAACGCUGGCGGUAGGCCUAACACAUGCAAGUCGAACGGCAGCACAGUAAGAGCUUGCUCUUACGGGUGGAGAGUGGCGGACGGGUGAGGAAUACAUCGGAAUCUACUUUUUCGUGGGGGAUAACGUAGGGAAACUUACGCUAAUACCGCAUACGACCUACGGGUGAAAGCAGGGGAUCUUCGGACCUUGCGCGAUUGAAUGAGCCGAUGUCGGAUUAGCUAGUUGGCGGGGUAAAGGCCCACCAAGGCGACGAUCCGUAGCUGGUCUGAGAGGAUGAUCAGCCACACUGGAACUGAGACACGGUCCAGACUCCUACGGGAGGCAGCGGUGGGGAAUAUUGGACAAUGGGCGCAAGCCUGAUCCAGCCAUACCGCGUGGGUGAAGAAGGCCUUCGGGUUGUAAAGCCCUUUUGUUGGGAAAGAAAAGCAGCAGGUUAAUACCCCGCUGUUCUGACGGUACCCAAAGAAUAAGCACCGGCUAACUUCGUG
rnacentral:rRNA from 1 species